GAUGAAGAACGUAGCGAAAUGCGAUAAGUAAUGUGAAUUGCAGAAUUCAGUGAAUCAUCGAAUCUUUGAACGCACCUUGCGCUCCUUGGUAUUCCGAGGAGCAUGCCUGUUUGAGUGUCAUUAAUAUAUCAACCUUCUCUUUUUUGAGUUGUUUGGAUGUGGGGGUUUGCUGGCCUCUUAAAUGAUUCAGCUCCCCUGAAAUGCAUUAGCAGAACAACCUGUUCAUUAGCGUGAUAAUUAUCUAUGCUAUUGAAUGUGAGGGCAGUUCAGCUUUCUAACCGUCCUUGGACAAUUCAUCAUUAAUGUGACCUCAAAUCAGGUAGGACUACCCGCUGAACUUAAGCAUAUCAAUAAGCGGGGGA
rnacentral:misc_RNA from 1 species